GGCGAACGGGUGAGUAACGCGUAAAUAACCUACCCUCAAGUAGAGGAUAACUCUGAGAAAUCGGAGCUAAUACUUUAUGUGGUAAUAGGGGCAAUGCUCUAUUAUUAAAGUCUUAGGAUGCUUGGGGAGGGGCUUGCGUCCGAUUAGCUAGUUGGUAGGGUAAUGGUCUACCAAGGCGAUGAUCGGUAGCUGGUUUGAGAGAAUGGUCAGCCACAUUGGGACUGAGACACGGCCCAGACUCCUACGGGAGGCAGCAGCAAGGAAUAUUGUGCAAUGGGCGAAAGCCUGACACAGCGACGCCGCGUGGAGGAUGAAGGCCCUUGGGUUGUAAACUCCUUUUCUUAGGGAAGAAUAAUGACGGUACCUAAGGAAUAAGCCACGGCUAACUACGUGCCAGCAGCCGCGGUAAUACGUAGGUGGCAAGCGUUAUCCGGAUUUACUGGGCGUAAAGAGGGCGUAGGCGGCUUUCCAAGUCGGAUGUAAAAUCUCCUGGCUUAACUGGGAGGGACCAUUCGAUACUGUUAGGCUAGAGAGCAGCAGAGGGAGGUGGAAUUCCCGGUGUAGUGGUGAAAUCCGUAGAUAUCGGGAGGAA
rnacentral:rRNA from 1 species